ACACGGGUACAGGGAUUGGGUGAUUCUGGAGAAGGAGCCUGAGAACGGCUACUACAUCUACGGAAGGCAGCAGGCGCGUAAUUACCCAAUCCUGACUCAUGGGAGGUGGUGACAAGAUAUAACAACGCAAUUUCAUUGUGAUUGUAGUGAGGGUAUUCCAAACCGAACCACUAGUACGAUUAGAGGGCAAGUCUGGUGCCAGCAGCCGCGGUAAUUCCAGCUCUAAUAGCGUAUAUUAAAGUUGCUGCAGUUAAAAAGCUCGUAGUUGGAUUUCAAGGAUUGUGUACUCUCUCAGAGUAUGCACCCUACUAUUUCUUUCUAUUUGUUACUGUGAGAAAAUUAGAGUGUUUAAAGCAGCUAUUGCAAGAAUACAUUAGCAUGGAAUAACGAAUGUAUCUAGAAUCUUGGUUAAUUCUAGGUUUCGAUUAAUAGAGACAGUGGGGGCAGAGCACGACCCGCGAGGGAAAUUCUUGGAUUUGUUAAAGACUAACGUAUGCUAUAUGCAUUUUGCCAAGAUGUUUCAUUAUCAGGACGAAGAUAGGGGAUCCACGACCAUCCAGAUACUGUCGUAGUCCUAUCUAUUAACUAUGCGACUAGGGACUGAAUGAAACAUCACCAUUUCAGUACCUUAUGAGAAUCAAAGUUCUUUGGGUUCUGGGGGGAGUAUGUCGCAGACUGAACUUACGAAUUGACGUAUGUACCACCAGGAUGGGACUGCGCCUAUUGACUCCAACCGGACCUUACAGUCGGAAC
rnacentral:rRNA from 1 species